GAUGAACGCUGGCGGCGUGCCUAAUACAUGCAAGUCGAGCGAACAGACGAGGAGCUUGCUCCUCUGACGUUAGCGGCGGACGGGUGAGUAACACGUGGAUAACCUACCUAUAAGACUGGGAUAACUUCGGGAAACCGGAGCUAAUACCGGAUAAUAUAUUGAACCGCAUGGUUCAAUAGUGAAAGACGGUUUUGCUGUCCCUUAUAGAUGGAUCCGCGCCGCAUUAGCUAGUUGGUAAGGUAACGGCUUACCAAGGCAACGAUGCGUAGCCGACCUGAGAGGGUGAUCAGCCACACUGGAACUGAGACACGGUCCAGACUCCUACGGGAGGCAGCAGUGGGGAAUCUUCCGCAAUGGGCGAAAGCCUGACGGAGCCACGCCGCGUGAGUGAUGAAGGUCUUCGGAUCGUAAAACUCUGUUAGUAGGGAAGAACAAAUGUGUAAGUAACUAUGCACGUCUUGACGGUACCUAAUCAGAAAGCAACGGCUAACUACGUG
rnacentral:rRNA from 1 species